AAAGACGUUAGUAGCGGAAAAUUUUGAACGUUACUAUUAAGGAAGGAUAAUGCUAUCCUUGCGCUUCGCUAUUCCUACCGCGAAUACAUUAACUCCGCCCAAGAUUAAACCAAAACCGGGUUUAGUAGUACAAACCGCUUGGAACCAAACGGACCUUUUUCCUUCUCUUCCCAAACGAAAUGAUAAUAAGCUACAAGCAGCUACCACGGACUUAUCUGUGGCGGGAGAUAUACCGGCGGAGG
rnacentral:lncRNA from 1 species